rnacentral:rRNA from 1 species
GAUGAACGCUAGCUACAGGCUUAACACAUGCAAGUCGAGGGGCAGCAUGUCGGUUGCUUGCAACCGAUGAUGGCGACCGGCGCACGGGUGAGUAACGCGUAUCCAACCUUCCCCAUAGUAGAGAAUAGCCCGGCGAAAGUCGGAUUAAUGCUCUAUGUUGUAUUUUGAUGACAUCUGAAGAAUACCAAAGGUUCACCGCUAUGGGAUGGGGAUGCGUCUGAUUAGGUUGUUGGCGGGGUAACGGCCCACCAAGGCGACGAUGCGUAGGGGUUCUGAGAGGAAGGUCCCCCACACUGGUACUGAGACACGGACCAGACUCC